CAGACCUGUAGAGCACUUCUCUCCUGAGAGCCAAGAGAGCAGCGAGCUUCAGUGAGUGACUAAUGGCGCGUUUAACCCCGGAGAAUCUGCUUGUGAUCUCAACAUCAGAGGGUUGCUGCAGCAGAGGAACAGAAAGAGAUGGCGGGGGAGGGAGGGCUCUGGCUGGGUGCCUGAGGCCAGAAGAGAUUUCCCUAGAAAGAGUCCAGGGACAGUUCCUGAGAGCAGAGGAAAAGUAUCACAUGGAAAGUCAAGGAUGAUCCCUGAAGGUGAAUAAUAUGUUUGCAGAGUCUGAACGCUCUCUCCAGAAGCAUAAGAAAACUCUGCAGUCUGUGCAAGAUUUGAUGAGCAGCAGCAUUGCAGAAUUAGAUUAUCUGUACAGGACAGGAACAGGCACUGGUUCCACCAGGUGUUGUGUUGGAGCUGUAGAGUUCUUCCAAUGGAACAACUUCUAUACUCUGUUAACAUGUGGCUAAAUGGCCAUUUUAGCAGCAACAGCAAAAUAACCAGAUUGAUUUAACUUGUUGCAAAAAUCAAAUUGAGAUUCAGGUCUCCCCAGCUGAAGGACUGUUGCAUUGACCCACAGUAGAUUUCCCUACCUACCUUCUCAUCUUGUGUGGAUACAGCUAAUAAAACCAGUUCUCUUUUGGGAUUAUUGUUGAUUACCCCUCCCCCAUUUUAAUCAUUUGGUGCCACAGAUCACAGCAUAGGACAGCUCUGUAAUGAAGGACCCUACGACAAUACAAAGGCAUUGCAUUUAUGAAUGGGCUGGCUCUCAAGAACUCUAACAACUGGAUAAGGCACGUGGAGUGAGGAAAACAAAAGAACUUGUAAGAAAAGAGCCAAACAUUUAAUGGCUGUCUGUUUUCUUGUACAUUUUAAUGUUAUCCAGCGGGGAGUACAACAACAACAGUGCUACAUUAAAAUAGAAAUUGCAGUGCUACACCUUGUCUUACAGUCCCUAGAACAAGACUGUUUGGAUGUGCAUGUAACUCACACUUUGUUUUACAGGGGGAUUAAAUGUCUGGAGCAGAGCCAUUAGGGUAAAUCUUCACUGAAUAGAAAUUGCAAGUGAUCUGAGUUCCAAGGAUGUUAUUUCUCAGAACUGCAAGUCCCUUCUCCCACUCAAAAGGGGGCAUAGAAAUUGAACCAGCCACAAAUGCAAUCAGAAGGUCCCACAGAAUUAAAUCCUAGUGCUUUAGCUCAUUCAGCAUUAAACACAGAGGCAAAAUACUAGAUUGCCACUGUUGCAGGAGCCCUAAACCCCGGCUGUGCCUUGCCUAUCCGGAGUCACAGGGCAGGAUUAAGGGCGGGGAGGCUAGCUGGGCAGCUGCUAGGGGCACCAACCUAUGGGGGGCGCCUGAUUGAAGUGGUAAAGGGUGCCGCAUCAGGUGCCCCCCAUAGGUUGCAGCCUGGGGGCAGGGCCGCAGCUCCCUGUACAUGUCAAUCAGGUGCCGCAUGCCUGGGGCGCAAGAAUAACUCAGGCCAGCCCUACGGAGUCAUGAGAUGGAGUAAUUACUGCUGCUCAAAAGCCCCAAUUUUACAUAGACAGCUAUUUGGCAUGUCAUAAUCCUUCUGGGAGCACUAAGUUUACAUAACAAUUCUGAAUCCCACAGCACUGAAUUCAGUCUACAUGGACAGAGCAUUCUGAUUUUAGCACCUUGUCACUGCUAGAGUCCCCACCACCCUCAGGUUAUGAAAAUGGUUCAGCAUAAAUUAACAUAAAAAUAUAUAAGUGAUAUACUGACAUUUCUAUGAUACCUGCAGAGGUGUGUCUAAACUACAUGGCUCCAUCGAUGGAGCCA